rnacentral:rRNA from 1 species
AUGCAAGUAGAACGCUGAAGGAGGAGCUUGCUCUCUCUGGAUGAGUUGCGAACGGGUGAGUAACGCGUAGGUAACCUGCCUGGUAGCGGGGGAUAACUAUUGGAAACGAUAGCUAAUACCGCAUAACAGUAGAUGCUGCAUGACAUUUGCUUAAAAGGUGCAAUUGCAUCACUACCAGAUGGACCUGCGUUGUAUUAGCUAGUUGGUGGGGUAACGGCUCACCAAGGCGACGAUACAUAGCCGACCUGAGAGGGUGAUCGGCCACACUGGGACUGAGACACGGCCCAAACUCCUGCGGGAGGCAGCAGUAGGGAAUCUUCGGCAAUGGACGGAAGUCUGACCGAGCAACGCCGCGUGAGUGAAGAAGGUUUUCGGAUCGUAAAGCUCUGUUGUAAGAGAAGAACGAGUGUGAGAGUGGAAAGUUCACACUGUGACGGUAUCUUACCAGAAAGGGACGGCUAACUACGUGCCAGCAGCCGCGGUAAUACGUAGGUCCCGAGCGUUGUCCGGAUUUAUUGGGCGUAAAGCGAGCGCAGGCGGUUAGAUAAGUCUGAAGUUAAAGGCUGUGGCUUAACCAUAGUACGCUUUGGAAACUGUUUAACUUGAGUGCAAGAGGGGAGAGUGGAAUUCCAUGUGUAGCGGUGAAAUGCGUAGAUAUAUGGAGGAACACCGGUGGCGAAAGCGGCUCUCUGGCUUGUAACUGACGCUGAGGCUCGAAAGCGUGGGGAGCAAACAGGAUUAGAUACCCUGGUAGUCCACGCCGUAAACGAUGAGUGCUAGGUGUUAGACCCUUUCCGGGGUUUAGUGCCGUAGCUAACGCAUUAAGCACUCCGCCUGGGGAGUACGACCGCAAGGUUGAAACUCAAAGGAAUUGACGGGGGCCCGCACAAGCGG